rnacentral:rRNA from 1 species
CCUACGGGGGGCAGCAGUGGGGAAUAUUGCACAAUGGGGGAAACCCUGAUGCAGCGACGCCGCGUGAAGGAUGAAGGUUUUCGGAUCGUAAACUUAUGUCUUCGGGGAAGAGAAAGGACGGUACCCGAGGAGGAAGCCACGGCUAACUACGUGCCAGCAGCCGCGGUAAUACGUAGGUGGCAAGCGUUGUCCGGAUUUACUGGGUGUAAAGGGCGUGUAGGCGGAUAAAUAAGUUGGGUGUGAAAUACCACGGCUCAACCGUGGGGGUGCAUUCAAAACUAUUUACCUUGAGUGCUGGAGAGGAAAGCGGAAUUCCUAGUGUAGCGGUGAAAUGCGUAGAUAUUAGGAGGAACACCAGUGGCGAAGGCGGCUUUCUGGACAGUAACUGACGCUGAGGCGCGAAAGCGUGGGGAGCAAACAGGAUUAGAUACCCGUGUAGUC